rnacentral:rRNA from 1 species
GACGACGCUGGCGGCGUGCCUAACACAUGCAAGUCGAACGGAGCACUUCGGUGCUUAGUGGCGAACGGGUGAGUAACGCGUGAGAAACCUGCCUUUCAGUGGGGGACAACAGUUGGAAACGACUGCUAAUACCGCAUAAUGUCAUUUGGGGGCAUCCCCGAAUGACCAAAGAUUUAUCGCUGAAAGAUGAGCUCGCGUCUGAUUAGAUAGUUGGUGAGGUAACGGCUCACCAAGUCGACGAUCAGUAGCCGGACUGAGAGGUUGGACGGCCACAUUGGGACUGAGACACGGCCCAGACUCCUACGGGAGGCAGCAGUGGGGAAUAUUGCACAAUGGGGGAAACCCUGAUGCAGCGACGCCGCGUGGAGGAAGAAGGUCUUCGGAUUGUAAACUUCUUUUAGUAGGGGCGAAUACGUGACGGUACCUACAGAAAAAGCAACGGCUAACUACGUG